GAUGAACGCUAGCUACAGGCUUAACACAUGCAAGUCGAGGGGCAGCAUGAACUUAGCUUGCUAAGUUUGAUGGCGACCGGCGCACGGGUGAGUAACACGUAUCCAACCUUCCGUUUACUCAGGGAUAGCCUUUCGAAAGAAAGAUUAAUACCUGAUAGUAUGGUGAGAUUGCAUGAUAGCACCAUUAAAGAUUUAUUGGUAAACGAUGGGGAUGCGUUCCAUUAGGUAGUAGGCGGGGUAACGGCCCACCUAGCCGACGAUGGAUAGGGGUUCUGAGAGGAAGGUCCCCCACAUUGGAACUGAGACACGGUCCAAACUCCUACGGGAGGCAGCAGUGAGGAAUAUUGGGCAAUGGGCGCAAGCCUGACCCAGCAACGCCGCGUGAAGGAAGAAGGCUUUCGGGUUGUAAACUUCUUUUAAGAGGGAAGAGCAGAAGACUGUACCUCUAGAAUAAGCCACGGCUAACUACGUG
rnacentral:rRNA from 1 species